rnacentral:rRNA from 1 species
GACGAACGCUGGCGGCGUGCUUAACACAUGCAAGUCGAACGGUAAGGCCCUUCGGGGUACACGAGUGGCGAACGGGUGAGUAACACGUGGGUGAUCUGCCCUGCACUUUGGGAUAAGCCUGGGAAACUGGGUCUAAUACCGGAUAGGACCAUGCGCUUCACGGUGUGUGGUGGAAAGCUUUUGCGGUGUGGGAUGGGCCCGCGGCCUAUCAGCUUGUUGGUGGGGUAAUGGCCUACCAAGGCGACGACGGGUAGCCGGCCUGAGAGGGUGACCGGCCACACUGGGACUGAGAUACGGCCCAGACUCCUACGGGAGGCAGCAGUAGGGAAUUUUCCACAAUGGGCGAAAGCCUGAUGGAGCAACGCCGCGUGCAGGAUGAAUGCCUUCGGGUUGUAAACUGCUUUUAUCUGUGACGAAUAUGACGGUAGCAGAUGAAUAAGGAUCGGCUAACUCCGUGCCAGCAGCCGCCGUAA